GCAAGAUGGCGGACUCCACUUCAGCUACUGUAGUGUCGUCGGAAGCAAUAAGUGAGCUGCCGUGCAGUAAAACACACUUCGUUUGGUCAGAUGCCAUGACGAUGCACUUGAUAAACCCCUGGGAAGACAGUGUAGCCGUAUCGGGGACCAAAGAGGCCAGAAAAGAAACGCCGCCGAUUACGACCGCGUCGAGACAGCUACUGCGGUUUUCGUCGGGAAGCAAGUGCGGGUUAAAAUAGAAAACCUGACGAUGGAAUACAGCUUCACCUAUGAAAACUACAGCCACACUGCACGGUUUCGCACUGCUACAAAACGACUACUUCAGAAACAGUGAUGUCAUGAUUGCAUCCCAGCCUGAAGAACAAACAACUGAGCAACAAGAGACAAGUUCGGAACCUGCACAGACCUCACAGAGAAAGUAGCCCAAGAACCAGACUGUGAUGAUGCAGGUCCUAGAGCUCUAAAAAGCUGUGGAAAUGAGAGCUACAAAAGCUGAAAAAAGGAACGAAGGUUUCAAAGAAAAGUACUGAGGCUGCAGGAAGGAGUUAAUAGAAUGCAACAAGAAACGCUUCGAUAAGCAAAUUAAAAUG